rnacentral:rRNA from 1 species
CACGGAUCCAGAGUUUGAUCAUGGCUCAGGAUGAACGCUGGCGGCGUGCCUAACACAUGCAAGUCAAACGGGGUUAAGGGAAAUUUUCGGAUGGAACUUAACUUAGUGGCGGACGGGUGAGUAACGCGUGGAUAACCUGCCUCACACUGGGGGAUAGCAGCUGGAAACGGCUGGUAAUACCGCAUAAGACCACAGCACCGCAUGGUGCAGGGGUAAAAGAUUUAUCGGUGUGAGAUGGAUCCGCGUCUGAUUAGCCAGUUGGCGGGGUAACGGCCUACCAAAGCGACGAUCAGUAGCCGGCCUGAGAGGGCGACCGGCCACAUUGGGACUGAGACACGGCCCAAACUCCUACGGGAGGCAGCAGUGGGGAAUAUUGCACAAUGGGGGAAACCCUGAUGCAGCGACGCCGCGUGAGUGAAGAAGUAUUUCGGUAUGUAAAGCUCUAUCAGCAGGGAAGAAGAUGACGGUACCUGCACAAGAAGCCCCGGCUAACUACGUGCCAGCAGCCGCGGUAAU